CCUUUAGACAGGGUGGCGUCACUUGAGGACCUGUCACAAGGAUCGGAGGCGGAUUCGGAAGACGGGGUCAGGAGUGUACGGGAGGACAGCGGGUGCACCUCCCAAGGGCGGCAAGGUGUACCAAACGACCCCAGGCCUGUAGCCAGCAAAGAACGGCGGGGGGAUAGCGCCAGGCAGGAAGGGACAUGGAGCGCCAGGGAAAGGAGCCCGUCGGCUGAUAGGUACAGUAAGCGGAGGGCAGCCUGUAGGGACAGGAGGAGGAAGG